UAGAACUCGAGGCAUUGCCACUAAUCACUGGCAUGUCCUACUUAUAAUUGACAAGCAAAUGGAGAUUUUCUUUUCAUGAUGGUCAGCUCUGCUUGCACAUUUUUCAGGUCAUAGAUACUUGUGGUCAGUAUCUAUUCCACUUGGGAAGUGGGUACUUGUGGCUACCGAUGGUCCUCCUUGCAGAAAUCGUCUAUACGUUUAUUUUGGCCCUACAAACCAUAUGGAUGAUGGAAUAUACGAAGCUAUUGCAGGAAGUGACUUUGUCAUUACUAGAGUUGCAUUUUGAGACAACUCUUCAAAUUUCUACAUAAAUGACCGUGGAAGUAAUUUUACAGAGGUCACUAAGAAAUUGAAAGGAAAAGGAGUGGACUUGGAGAACAAUCGGUUUUUGAUUCUUCAGGGUAAAGUCGAGCAAAUUUCUCUAAUGAAGCCAAAGAUUUGUAUUUUUAGCAUUAUUGUAAUUGUAAUUGAUUGAAUGAAGGAUUAUAAUUGAUUGUAAUGGAAUGAAUAAAUGAUUGUAAUGGAA